rnacentral:tRNA from 1 species
GGUCUUGUGGUGUAAUCGGUUAUCACUUUGGACUUUGAAUCCAACAAUCCGAGUUCGAUUCUCGGCAAGACCU